AUUUUGAUACUUGUACUGUUUCAAUUAAUUGCAGUUGAAUGGAGCAUCUAUUGCCCAACAAAUUUCUUUUCUUCUUGGGGGGAGGGUGGCUGGAAUUAUGUUCACAAUCACAAAAAUACAUUGCUUGUGUGCCAGGAUAGUAUGCGGUUGAGUGCGCAAGUUUUAUUUAGUAUUGCCAUGGUGUUAGGUUGUUACAAGGACAAAAAUUCUGAGCCAGUCCUUCCUCUUUUUCACUGUAGUCUUAUAUUUUGUAGAAUGGUUGUACAAAACAUUAUGAGAAAAAGGUGCCAACUG
rnacentral:misc_RNA from 1 species